GAGAGCGUCUUCUGUGUUGCUUGCUGCUUGGGCUCCUGCAAGGACUUCAAGGAAGGAUUGGAGAAGAAGGGCCCAAGAAACUAGCAAGCAACAACAUCAUCUCCAAGGCGACCACUGUGACUGCAAUAAAGUGUGCAAUGGAACGGAACGACAAGGGCUCUACACUGCUCCUGAAAUGCUAUAAAAUCACCUAGAAGCAUGUAGCCAUGGAUACUUCAAGCAAAACAAUCAGAAGACAUAGUAAGAAACAUCAGCAAAACACUCAGAAUUCACAAAGCUUCUGAACCUGAUGAGCCACUGAUUCAGCAGGCAAGUCUUGUUCCAGAAGAUUUAACUCACCAAAACCAUGUCUAGUAGGUAGGCCACCCACAAAUACACAGCCUUACACUAGGGGAUGGGAGAAGAAGAAACUGGCAAGUCCCAAAGUUAUGCAAUACUGGCUGAAACUAUGUGGGGAGAAGAACCACGGCUCAGAGAACUUACUGGAAGGCCAUUCUCAGCAGCAGCACCCUUAUCGCAGGAGGCAGUACCCCCUUACUGUAUGCACUAGCCUUACGGCCAACCCCAAUAUUCCAAUGCUCUUGUGCAAACAGAGGUUUUUGAGGAUGCUGACAACCAAAGUGAGCUAUGCCAUUGUCUACGUCCUGGAAAAAUAACACCAUCACUUUUGGGGCAGAGGUUCAAACUAUGCACAGACCAUGCUGCGCUCCAAUGGCUACAAGAAGCCCAACACAAAAAGAAGCUUCUGUGUUAGCUUGAUGCUUCAAGUGUUUGAUUUUGAAUUGAAAUACAUUCAAGGGGAAGAUAACCUUGCAGAUGCACUGACCAGAGGGCCUUUUGAGGAUGAGAACUAAGAUACAAUUCAACUGUACCUGAUGCUAAAAGGAACACAUUAAUGGCUUAACUGAUGUAGAAUGUUUGGCAUGUUGAGGAUAUACUUUACUGUUGCCCUGCAGCAUUUUGAUGUUGUGCUAUAUUUAUGUGGAACAGAUAGCCAAGGUAGGGCUAUCAACUACAAAAACCAUAGCACAGUGUACCUGCUCUAAUCUUCCUAACUUGAUACAGGAAGUGGCUGAGGAAAUGGGAAGGCCACAGCUUGGAGGCUGGAAACAGCAGGAAGACCCCUGCCUAUGAAUAAUAAGACAGGGACCAGUU